AGCCUUGGCCGGAGAGGCGGUAGAGUAGGGUGGGUGUUUUGUCAGGCCUGAGUUAGCUUCGCCAUACGGCGCUUUUCGCUGGUGUCUCUGCCUCGUUCUGAGUAGACCCCCUAGACCUCACCGCCGCCCCUGCGUUUUACCUCAAUAUUACAGACCAGACCAAGGGUCUCCAACUCCCAGACCAGUCCACACAGAAGGAGGUGAACAUCAGUCCAGCGAAGCUUCAUGUAUAUUUACAGCCACUCCCCAUCACUUGCAUUACCAUCUGAGCUCUUCCUCCUGUCACAUCAGUGGUGGCCUUAGACUCAUAGGAGCGUGAACCCUAUUGUGAACUGCGAGUGCAAGGGAUCUAGGUUGCAGGCUGCUUGUGAGAAUCUAAGGUCUGAUGAUCUGUCACUGUCUCCCAUCAUGCCAACAUGUGAUCAUCUAGUUGCAGGAAAACAAGCUCAGGGCUCCCAUUGAUUCUACAUUAUGCACUUGCUACAGGGGAAGUGAACUGCUAUGUCCUGAGAUAACUGAGAGGUUGUGGAGAGUGACUCCAUGAGUCUGUGGAGAGGUCAAUAUGACAAAGAACUGAAGCUUGCCAAUAGCCAUUUGAGUGAGCUUGGAAGUGGACCUUUCCCCAGGAGAGGAAGGGUAUUCCCGUUCAUCCCAGUAAUGCUAAUCGAGGAAAUGGUCCUCGAGGAAAUGACGCUGCAGCAACAGCAUCACCUGGGGACUUGUUAGCAACAGAAGUUCUCAGACUCCGCCAUAGAACUACUGAAUCAGAAAUUCUGGAAUAAGGCCCAGCAUUCCAUGUUCUAACAAACCUUCCAGGUGACUGUAAUGUACAUUCAAGUUUAAGAACCACUGUAAUAGACCCAUUUCUUGGUUGAUUAAAUGGAUCUUAUAUUGUAAAUAAGCAGAAUAGUCAAAUGUUCCUUCACACAAUAGGCUAGGGCUGCUAUUUGACAGGAUCAUGGUCGUUUUAACAGGAGGAAUAUGAUGAAUCUGAAAAAUGGAAACAAUAUUUGCAAUGGCAGUUGUGUGUCCCUAUGCAACAUGAGGUGGGGAGGCCUUGAGGAUUCCACUGAUGGAAAGAAUUGAGCUGAAAUCUGAGCACCUGCCAUCCUCUUCCUCCUCUCCCCUCCCAACAUCUGCAUGGAACCACAGCCCUCCCCUCUUUCCUUUGGAGCCAGUGAAGCAU